GGCUCAGGAUGAACGCUGGCGGUAUGCUUAACACAUGCAAGUCGAACGGUCUUUUCGGAGAUAGUGGCGGACGGGUGAGUAACGCGUAAGAAUCUACCUUCAGGUUGGGGACAACCACUGGAAACGGUGGCUAAUACCCAAUGUGCCGAGAGGUGAAAGGCUUGCUGCCUGAAGAAGAGCUUGCGUCUGAUUAGCUAGUUGGUGGGGUAAGAGCCUACCAAGGCGACGAUCAGUAGCUGGUCUGAGAGGAUGAUCAGCCACACUGGGACUGAGACACGGCCCAGACUCCUACGGGAGGCAGCAGUGGGGAAUUUUCCGCAAUGGGCGAAAGCCUGACGGAGCAAUACCGCGUGAGGGAGGAAGGCUCUUGGGUUGUAAACCUCUUUUCUCAGGGAAGAAAAAAAUGACGGUACCUGAGGAAUAAGCAUCGGCUAACUCCGUGCCAGCAGCCGCGGUAAUACGGAGGAUGCAAGCGUUAUCCGGAAUGAUUGGGCGUAAAGGGUCCGCAGGUGGCAUUGUAAGUCUGCUGUUAAAGAGUCACGCUCAACGUGAUAAAAGCAGUGGAAACUACAAAGCUAGAGUAUGGUCGGGGCAGAGGGAAUUCCUGGUGUAGCGGUGAAAUGCGUAGAUAUCAGGAAGAACACCGGUGGCGAAGGCGCUCUGCUAGGCCAAAACUGACACUGAGGGACGAAAGCUAGGGGAGCGAAUGGGAUUAGAUACCCCAGUAGUCCUAGCCGUAAACGAUGGAUACUAGGCGUAGCUCGUAUCGACCCGAGCUGUGCCGUAGCUAACGCGUUAAGUAUCCCGCCUGGGGAGUACGCAGGCAACUGUGAAA
rnacentral:rRNA from 1 species